AGAGCGAACGCUGGCGGCAGGCCUAACACAUGCAAGUCGAGCGCCCCGCAAGGGGAGCGGCAGACGGGAGAGUAACACGUGGGAACGUACCCUUUGGUUCGGAACAACACAGGGAAACUUGUGCUAAUACCGGAUAAGCCCUUACGGGGAAAGAUUUAUUGCCAAAGGAUCGGCCCGCGUCUGAUUAGCUUGUUGGUGAGGUAACGGCCCACCAAGGCUACGAUCAGUAGCUGGUCUGAGAGGAUGAUCAGCCUCACUGGGACUGAGACACGGCCCAGACUCCUACGGGAGGCAGCAGUGGGGAAUAUUGGACAAUGGGCGCAAGCCUGAUCCAGCCAUGCCGCGUGGAUGAUGAAGGCCCUAGGGUUGUAAAGUCCUUUCGACGGGGAAGAUAAUGACGGUACCCGUAGAAGAAGCCCCGGCUAACUUCGUGCCAGCAGCCGC
rnacentral:rRNA from 1 species